GAUGAAGAACGUAGCGAAAUGCGAUAAGUAAUGUGAAUUGCAGAAUUCAGUGAAUCAUCGAAUCUUUGAACGCACAUUGCGCCCGCCAGUAUUCUGGCGGGCAUGCCUGUUCGAGCGUCAUUUCAACCAUCAAGCCCCCGGCUUGUGUUGGGGACCUGCGGCUGCCGCAGGCCCUGAAAACCAGUGGCGGGCUCGCUGUCACACCGAGCGUAGUAGAUUUUCAUCUCGCUCAGGGCGUGCUGCGGGUUCCGGCCGUAAAAAGCCUUAUUUACCCAAGGUUGACCUCGGAUCAGGUAGGAAGACCCGCUGAACUUAAGCAUAUCAAUAAGCGAGA
rnacentral:misc_RNA from 1 species